rnacentral:lncRNA from 1 species
UUUCAAAAGUUUCUCAAGUUGCUUGAAUGCUUUAUAUGUGAGCCUUAUCUGUUUAUUUGCCUUAUUAAAGUCACAAUUAGCACAGCCGGGAACCACACUAGUGGGUCUUGAGUGGCGCCUAAAACCUUCCACUCGAGAUAAUUGCAAGACCUUACCCGAACUCUUGUUUUACUUAUACAAUACUCUCUUCUCUUAAAAGUGUCCUAAUGCACUAUAAUCAUUAGGUGGCGACUUUUCAACUUCCAAUACCCAAUUCCCAAACGGGAAUAAUGUUUUUUUGUCCAUAAUGUUGUAACCCGAUUUCGCUUCUUCUUUUAGUAGUGGGAAAAAGGGGGCGUCGAUAGCAUGGCGACUCUGCUGGGGAUUUCUUUAAGGAUUUUACCAUUACGUUCUUUGUGACUUUAUUGCUUUCUUUACUGCCUUCAUUUAUCGCUUUAAUUAUUAUCUUCAUGAUUACUAACUUGAUUCUUUGUGUUUUUCUUUUUUCUAUAAAUGCUUUACUGCUUCCACUUCAUUUCAAGCAUCUAUUAUAAUCAUUAUUUUUAUGAACGUGAAAAUACAUGUUUUUAUUUCAUUGUUGUAAUUGCAUCUUGCAAUACCAUUUUCCAGUCAUGCCAAAAAAAUCCAAUAGCAACGCUUAUAAUGAGUGGUUGCGCUCUUCCAAUAUUUAUCAACCCCCUAAAUUUGGCAAAUUCAUAUUUGCGGUAAAACCAGUC